AACGUUGGCCCAAGAUGAAAACAUCUCGCUAGGAUUCGUCCUUUUUUUUUUUUUUUUUGCGGGUGUAGGGUUCGUCUGUUCUGAGAGGUGAGAGCCCAGACCUCGGCCGCCGCCCUCUUCUUCUUCUCCGCCAAGCCAGCCGGCCAUAACCCUCCUCCUCCGGUAAGGGUCAGUAGCGCGCCAGAUCUUUAAAUUUCCGCGGGAGGGCUGCUGAGCUUCACGCUCCAGUCCACGCCGGAUCCGACACUGGAUUUGAAUUUGAAUUGAAUUUCAGUGUCUGUCCGUCCGUCCGCCUUGCUCUGGCGCCACAUCUUCCUUGUUCUUCUUCAUUCAUUCAUGGGAGUACUGCUGUUUAUCAAUCUAUUUAUAUGACUGGAUCAAUAGCAGCAGCACUCGGAUUGCACCUCCAGGGUACGGAUAACUUUCCAAUUCGUCGGAAUAAUAAUAAGAGUAAUAAUCGGCGAGCUUGUGUAGCUGCAGUCCGACUGGGAGGGGGCUUUGCUGCCCCGGCGCAGCGCUGAGUUAUUAUAAAUAGUGGCAGAAUAAGGACGAGGAUUGGCCUGCAAUAGUCGAGAGCCUCCACGGUUGCCUUAAACAUUCAUUCCAAGCCUUCGCCGGAGCUGCGAUAUACCACUUCGACCGAACCACCGAAAUACAGCUUCCCACAUCGCCAAUGGAGGGGAAUAAUAGCGAUCACAACGACAGUUCCCACAGCCAAAUAACAACUGGACGACGAAGAUAGACUCAGCGCUCUAACUGAUGAUAUUUUACUGUCCAUCUUGGGGAGAGUCAGUUCACUUGUGGCUACAAGGACAAGUGUGCUCUCUACACGGUGGAGGCAUCUGCCUUGGUUGCUGCCUGAACUCAGCAUCGAUGUCCAGGAUUUCCUAUCCACUCCGUACGCUGACCUUGUUGAGGCAAAUGAUAUGGAACAAGCCAUGGCGUCUUUGACCAAAGCAACCAGGAGUUUGUUAGAUAAACAACAGAGAGGAUCCACUAUCUCAAGUUUGCGCCUUAACCUCUAUUUGAUCAACACUUUCCUUUGCGAAGUUGGCCCACUGUUAGGUGAUGCGAUCGACAGUGGUUUGUUGAAAGAUUUAAAUCUCGGCAUUCUUGAUGAGACAAAGACUCUGGACCGUAGCGACGAAGAGAUGCAACAGCGAGCUCAAGACAUAGAUGAUUUUUUCACUGCCUACCCUAGUGUGCUCCACUGCCUCACAAAGCUCUUUCUAAAAAUUGUAGGCUUUGACAAAUUGGACAUGCACCAUGUCCUGUUUGACUGCUGCAAGCAACUUAAGCAUCUAACCCUUUAUCAUUGUGAUACUGGUUCCUACUCUGUCUUUAAGAUUGAUGCGCCAGACUCAAAACUCUGUGUUCUUGAAAUUGAGAAGUGUCGCUUUCUGAGAAUCGACCUUGUCUGCCUCCCUAAAUUGGAGAAGUUCUUUUGUGAGUCUUGGAUAUCUCAGUGUGCCCCGUUGACCUUUGGUUUUGUCCCAUCACUUGGGCAAUUAGAACUCUCAUGUGGUUCAGUUUGUGAGGAAGACAUAUUUAAAUUAAGUGAGCUUCUACAUGGAGUAACAAGCAUACAUACUCUCUCAUUGGAUUUCCAAGGUGAAGCCCUUUGGUUGCAACCUGAAAUGGAGGAACUCCGCACCGCAUUCAGCAAGCUAAGGAAGCUGUACGUACGUAGGUGGUAUAUUUGUUGAAUUUGACAUUUUAUGGACAAUGGCCUUUCUUGUAGCAGCACCAUCUGUCGAAAUGUUACAUAUUGAGGUAUGGGAACAUACAUGCGAUUUGGGCGAGGCCAGACCCGCUUCCUACCUUGACAGGAGUCCAAAGUGGGAAAUGCACUUGGAUAGCAGCUCCGAGAACAAGCUUCUGAAAGAGCUAGAAUUCGCUGGAUUUAAAUCGCUAGAACAACAGUUUACAUUUAUAAGGUCCAUGUUGGAGCGAUCUCCCAACUUGCAAAAGAUAGUACUGAGAGAUGAUGAGCAGUGUGCUGAUUGUGACGCCCUUGAGGCACCUCGUCCUUCGAGAUUUCCAAGGAGGAGGAGCAAGAAGUGGUUGUUAAGCGGAUUAGAGAUGGCAUGUUCUCGCCGGAGAUAAUUUUUCAUGGAUAAGGAAAGAUGACUUGUCUCAGGUCAAAUAAUUUUUGAGGUCAUCUUCAUCACCCUGGCGGUUUCCAUGACGAUGAGGGAGUAAUUCAUCCUCGGGGUUGAGGGUAUGUACCAGUAGCUAUGUGUUUGAUCCAGGGUUUAUAAGUUGACGAGUCGAAGACUUAACUAAUCUAGACUAGUCUAGAUUAGUGCUAACUAGUUAACAUGGUACUGUAGUACUCAGCUACUAAUACCUAGUGAUAGUAUGUAGUAUAUACUAACAGUACAUUAUGCAAUAAAACUAGCCACUAUCUAAAUAA